GAUUAUAUGGUAGCACCAGAGCAAGAAAUCAGUCUUGGGUGAUAAUGAGUUACCAAGAAGAGCAUAUUGUUUUAGGCCCUUAGAAAUAAGCAAGAAAAUUAUGAAUUUUUGGUUUUAAAAUUCUUAGGUCAGUUAACAGUUGCAAAUACACCAUGUUGACAGCAAAAUAACCAAAUGACUGCUUUUACAUUCAAUUGCAAUUCAGGUUCUACAAACAAGCACAUUAAUUGAGCUUUUUGGACAAAAAAGCUACUACCGCAACUAACCAAAUAAGCACAUUAAACAUCAUUGAGGUUCUACUUAAGCGCAACCUUGUGCAUUAAGCAUAUUAACACAAUUCCUACACAAAAACACUUCAACCAACUAGCCUCAUUUUCUUCUUUUCCUUCAUACUGGAAAUUAAGUGUACUAUUGCUAUGAGUGAGAAGCAACAUUUGGGCCUUCAAUUCUUUCUUAGAUGCUUUCUUCUACUCUACCUUCUCUGCCUCAUUCAUUUUUCUUUCCAGCUCCAAAUUUUUCUCCUUCAACAUUUGCGCAAUAGUUUUCAACCCAUCAAUUCUUGCAAACAUGUUGUUUACAAUCUCCAUGCUCCUGGGUGGAAGUUCACUGUCCAUCCACCUAAAGAAGUCAUAAUUUUUAGGGUCCCCUUCCCGAAACAAUUAACAUGAAAUUGACAUUGGUAUGUGUAGACCAAAGUACUAGUGAAAAGAGAAAAUAGGAAGCAAUUCCUAUUGUUUUACCUUCUUUAUCCAAUAUGGGCAUCGACAGAAUUGUCUACUUAGAUUUGUUCUACUCCACGAUGUCAUUAUUUGGACGGGAAGAUUACGCCGACAUCUCAGUCUAGAUCAAGCAACAAUGGAGUUCACUGACCUAGCGCUAUCUUCACUUUCAGAUUCCAUAAACGUAUUCAAGGAUACAACUCAACAAAAACGGCAAGAAAGUUAGCAAAUCAAAAGCAAGAAGAGGAGAUGAGAUUAGGGAUUUGGGCUACUGCGACUCACCAUUAUCGCAAAGGAAGAAGGAGAAGAAGAAAUAGGAGAGGUAGAGAGAAGAGAAUCAGGUUUAGGGAUUAGGGAUUUUGGGGGAAAAACGAGUUAGUGAAACAGCGAGUAUCGAUAUCAAAAUAGUGCGUUUUGAUACCUUGGUUAAGUUAACCCG
rnacentral:lncRNA from 1 species